GAUGAAACAGAGAAAAACAAGGAGAAAGAUGUUGAUUAUCUUUCUUCCAUUGAGGUCUUAAUCAUUGAUCAUGCAGAUAUAAUAGCAAUGCAGAACUGGUCCCAUGUGAAUAUUGUCAUUGAACAAAUGAAUAAGAUACCAUCA